GCUUGGGGCUGUUGUUU
rnacentral:miRNA from 1 species